UACGUAGGGUGCGAGCGUUGUCCGGAAUUAUUGGGCGUAAAGGGCUCGUAGGCGGUUUGUCGCGUCGGGAGUGAAAACCCAGGGCUUAACCCUGGGCUGGCUUCCGAUACGGGCAGACUAGAGGUAUGCAGGGGAGAACGGAAUUCCUGGUGUAGCGGUGAAAUGCGCAGAUAUCAGGAGGAACACCGGUGGCGAAGGCGGUGGUCUGGGCCGGCACUGACGCUGAGGAGCGAAAGCGUGGGUAGCAAACAGG
rnacentral:rRNA from 1 species